UGGUUCCGGCAUNGAUGAAGAACGCAGCGAAAUGCGAUAAGUAAUGUGAAUUGCAGAAUUCAGUGAAUCAUCGAAUCUUUGAACGCACAUUGCGCCCCUUGGUAUCCCGAGGGGCAUGCCUGUCCGAGCGUCAUGUCAACAAUCGAGCCCGCUCGGUGUUGGACGCCGGCCCGUGCCACGGCGCGGGCCCGUCCCGAAUUGAUCGGCGAGGCCACCGACCCCCGGCGUGUUGGAUCAUCUGACGUCGAGAGCACCGGUGACCGAGCCGUCGAACCGCAUCAACAGGUUGACCUCGGAUCAGGUAGGAAUACCCGCUGA
rnacentral:misc_RNA from 1 species